rnacentral:rRNA from 1 species
AGAGUUUGAUCCUGGCUCAGGAUGAACGCUAGCGGCAGGCCUAAUACAUGCAAGUCGAACGGUAACAUGAGAGCUUGCUCUUGAUGACGAGUGGCGCACGGGUGCGUAACGCGUAUGCAACCUACCCUUUACUGGGGGAUAGCCCGGAGAAAUCCGGAUUAAUACCCCAUGGUACCAUAAUAUAACCUUAUAUAGUGGUUAAAGAUUUAUUGGUAAAGGAUGGGCAUGCGUGACAUUAGUUAGUUGGUAAGGUAACGGCUUACCAAGACGAUGAUGUCUAGGGGUUCUGAGAGGAAGGUCCCCCACACUGGUACUGAGACACGGACCAGACUCCUACGGGAGGCAGCAGUAGGGAAUAUUGGUCAAUGGACGCAAGUCUGAACCAGCCAUGCCGCGUGCAGGAUGACAGCUUUCUGAGUUGUAAACUGCUUUUAUAUAGGAACAAAUAGGCCAUGCGUGGCAAGUUGCGUGUACUAUAUGAAUAAGCACCGGCUAACUCCGUGCCAGCAGCCGCGGUAAUACGGAGGGUGCAAGCGUUGUCCGGAUUUAUUGGGUUUAAAGGGUGCGUAGGUGGCGUGUUAAGUCAGUGGUGAAAGCCUGCAGCUCAACUGUAGAGGUGCCAUUGAUACUGACAUGCUUGAGUAUGGAC